GACGAACGCUGGCGGCGUGCUUAACACAUGCAAGUCGAACGGAAAGGCCCUGCUUUUGUGGGGUGCUCGAGUGGCGAACGGGUGAGUAACACGUGAGUAACCUGCCCUUGACUUUGGGAUAACUUCAGGAAACUGGGGCUAAUACCGGAUAGGAGCUCCUGCUGCAUGGUGGGGGUUGGAAAGUUUCGGCGGUUGGGGAUGGACUCGCGGCUUAUCAGCUUGUUGGUGGGGUAGUGGCUUACCAAGGCUUUGACGGGUAGCCGGCCUGGGAGGGUGACCGGCCACAUUGGGACUGAGAUACGGCCCAGACUCCUACGGGAGACAGCAGUGGGGAAUAUUGCCCAAUGGGCGGAAGCCUGAUGCAACAACGCCGCGUGCGGGAUGACGGCCUUCGGGUUGUAAACCGCUUUCGCCUGUGACGAAGCGUGAGUGACGGUAAUGGGUAAAGAAGCACCGGCUAACUACGUG
rnacentral:rRNA from 1 species